UCGGAGCUGGGGACCGAACCCAGGGCCUUGCGCUUCCUAGGCAAGCGCUCUACCACUGAGCUAAAUCCCCAACCCCUUGAUCUGGUUCUUUUAAUUUGCUCAAAAAUAAGUGACCAAGCCUGGCUUGUCGGGCACUAACUGUGAUCACAAAGGUAGUGACGUUAUCAUCUUCCCAGUCCCCAGCAUCUUCAUUCCCCGGUAGUUCCUGUUGACCCAACUUUCUGAGGUAGAACUGAAAGGGAAAACUGUGAGGACAUGGGAAAAGGAGGGAGCCCCUCAGCCCAGAACCUGUCUGAAACAUCUCAGCAGCUGUGAAGUAGGGAUUCCAACGCCAUUAACAGCAUCUGCUCUGAAAGUUGCCUACACAGAGAUAAUAUUCCUUUACAUUAGCUGGUGCCAUGCUGUAGGAUGACGUCAUACGGGUGAGGCAGGUACAAGAUAGAACAAGGCCUGUCAUUGGACGAGAAGGAAGGAUGAGCAGGAGAAAAGUCUGAGAGAAGAGGAAGAGACUGGAAUGGGAGGAAACUGGAGGAACGGGAAGGCAGAGAAGCCUCGGAGAGAGCUGCGGUGUUGGACCUAGCAGCCUUUUAUUUUUUAUAAUUUUACAACAAACCAUGCCACUUAGUGAAGCUCCUUCAUUUUAUUUACAUGACGGUGGGAACUAAAAAUCACAAUAAUUUUGCAUUUCUGAAACUAAGACAUUUUCCUGGGUCCUUGGUCGUUCCCUCUCCACCCUAGUUAAAUCCUGUGCCUGCAAAGGGCAUAAUCCAUUACCUGUGUUCCUUAAUCCACACCCCCCAUCCCACGCACACUUCCCAUGGUCUCUGCCCUGCAGAUAGACAUCCUGUAAACAGACAAGACCGUAGGCUCCGAUCUCACACCAGGCUCCUUCUGCAGGUUUUCCUCCCUGAUAAAGAUGUAACGUUGGCAGGCCACUCACCCCUGUGUCUGUUCUCCUCUUACCAACUGGACAUCUGGUCCACACAGGAAGCAGAGAUGGGGGCUAUCCAAUGGGAGUUUCCUUCUGCUCUAUUUCCCUCCCAAUUCUUGUACAUCUGCCCCCCUUUGAGUGACUCUGACAAACAGCAUCAUUAGUAUUGCUCUCCACCAAGCACCACUGACUGACUCAACUCUAGGUGAGUUUUGCAACUUUCUCCCCUCCUCUGGAAGCAUUUUCUCUCUGAUGGUCCAUCAAGGACACCUCGGAAAGCCCCAGUGCCAGGUACAGUUUCUCAGGAUCAUACUGUCAAUCCUCCUCCAGAGGAUUUGUAAAGGCAUCCCUUUCCUGUGGGUAAACACUCUGUCACUGAGCAGGAUCUCUCAAGAGAAGAGGACGGUCUUCAUUUUGGCCUGUGGGAAAUAUUUUUUCUCUCCUCUCCUCCCAGCCUCGGGCCAACGAGCCUCUAGACCAGCUAUGGAUGUCUCCUGAAAAUGGAUCAACGAUGGGACUUAAAGACUCACAUUCUACUGUGACACAGCAUGGCUGCAGUGUUAGCUUAUAGUAUUUGUUUUCUGACUACCGAGGCCAGAAGAGGGCAUCAGACGGUGAACUGGAAUUCUGGACGGUUGUAAACUCCCAUAAUGUUAAAGAUGGAGCUCCGGAGCCAAGAUGCAAAAAGCCUGAAAAAGUCGCACAAGGGCUGUAGAAGAAAGGGAUGGUAACAUGACUCCUCUAGAAAGGAUGUAAAAGGCGAGGCUAAAGAAUAAUAUGUUACCAAACACAUUUUGCAGGCCAUUGAAUUUUCUAAUAUUAACUUCAACUGAAUCUCUUUGUAAAUUAACAAACUUCUGGUAAGUUAUUUAUCUGAUGUUGGUUACAUAUUGAAGGAACAAAAUUGUAUGUCCUAUCAAGAUGUAUUUUUAAAGAUUUAUUUAUUUUAUGCAUAUGAGUACACUGUUGCAGUCUUCAGACACACCAGAAGAGGGCAUCAGAUCUCAUUACAGAUGGUUGUGAGCCACCAUGUGGUUGCUGGGAUUUGAACUCAGGACCUCUGGAAGAGCAGUCAGUGCUCUUAACCACUGAGCCAUCUCUCCAGCCCCCCAAGAUGUAUUUUUAAAUAUUUGGGUAUUAUUUAUCCUUUAUCUAAAUAUAAAGUUAGAAAUACCAAACUGGGAACUGAUCUUCUGGGUGUUCAAUGACCACAUUUAGAGACUUAGACCUAUGUGGCCAGAAUGUCUAAAAGGGACAAUAUUUUUAACUCUUGCAUUCCGAGAUCAACUAAGUCCAAGGGAACUAUCCAGCAUCUUUCAAAUGUUCCUGCAGCUCUUUGCAUCAGCUGUCCCCUUGUUCAAAGAUAGCACAGAGACCCCCAAAACUGGGCUCUAUCUGGUUACAUUCUGCAAAGAGGGGAGCCAACACAGAGUGACAUGUCUCAGUGCUUCCCAGAAAAGGUCCUGCCAACCUUGUGUGGGGCUGGGAAAGGCACCCUGGUCCCCAGUUGAGCUAAGGCUUGAAGGGAGAGUAGGUAUGUUACCUAACUCCCCGGGGACCAGGACCCUGUCACUUGCCGCAGUCCUCUAUAGAUUUGUGGCCAUCGGUCACAUAAGGGCAAUGCCCCAAGCACCUCCACAGGUGGAGGACAUGACUACAGGUCACAUAAGCUCAAGACAGAUCUCCAUUUUAAUGAGAUACCCAAAGGCCUGGAGGUUUAGCCAGUAAACUUCCCAGACAUUACUCCCUGCAAAUGGUGUUUAAUCUUGGGCUCAUCCUGAGAAGUGGGGUAUGACAAUAAAUGACUUAAAACUAUGGUGGGGAGCCACAGAGAUGGCCUUCAGAGUCUCCCUUAGAAGGCUUCUCUGCUCCCAGUCACAGCCACCAAACCAAGAUCAAGCCCAUUGUAGUCAAGCCAAGGAUUCUUCCCAUGGGACCAGCCAGAGCUCCCCCCUUUUCCCCCUCAACCGCAGGCUAGAUCCAGUCUGCCAGCCCCCCACUCUGUUCUCAGCUCUUCCACAGCUUCCAGAGGUGCCUGGUGCCCGAGAGCCUGAGAACCCGACAGCCCUGGCCUCCUUGCAGGCCUGGGACCCCCGAGCCAACUCCAGCUGUCCUACACCUCAGACUGUGCUUCCCCACCCCUGGAGCAGUAUCGUCCUGCCUUCCCAAGUUGCUGAAACCUGUGGGGAGCAGACUCAGGACCCACAACCCUACAACAUGGCCUUGACUCAUCUCUACCAGAUGACGUAACUGAUUUAAAAAAAAAAAAAGACCCCCAAGGACUGGACUUUCUAGCGUCCUUGGCAACUUUUAAAAUGUGGUCAAUUCUGGCCACCUGCACAAUCCUUAAACAUCAAGAAGGAAAAUAUAAUCAAAAUUAAAAUGGUUGAUUAUAAUAUAAACUGGGCGUUAAAAGACAAAUGAUCCAGGUCUUAAAGAGGUCCCCAUUAAAUCAACCCCGAGUACAAGCUACUGACAUGGCAGGCUCAAUAGUCCCAGCCUCCCCAGUUGCAAUCAGAUGAGAGGACACUUACGAUCUUCCUAACUGUAAACAAAAUACUAACGGUAUAUAUGUUCCUGCUAAUUCUGCUAACAUUUCUUGCCACAAGCCAUGUAGGAAAGGUUAUGGCAAACACGUGAGCUCUCUAGAGAUGACCUACAAUUUUGCAUGGCUGCAAUGGGUAGGCUCUGCAGAGGCAUGGACCCCAGAAACUUCAUCCCGAGAUUGCUUCUCACUGCUGAUAUGCCUUUCCUGCCACUGUUACAUAGCUCAAUGAUUCUUGGGUAUCAGCCACCCUAAUGGGCAGAUCUCCUGCAGAUCAAAUAAAGAUGUACUUUCGUAUAAUAACACUGUUUAGAUGUAUUAAUGACUUUAUAUAACUUCUGGUUUGAUGCAAAUUAUUUCAGGAAGAAAGUUUAAGGAGAUGGUUUUAGUUGUCUUGCCAGAAAGAUAUAAUAAAGUUAGACUCAAGAAUAGAAGGUGCCCCCUCCUCAUAGAAUGGUAAGUAAAGACUGUAUAAUAAGAGGUACACUCAGCUUUCAUAAAUUGCAAUAAGAAGGAAACUAGGCUUGGGACAGAUUUGUGACCAAGGAAAAACAUUCAUUCUAAGUCAGGUCCAUGGAUGAGGCCAUAAGUGAGCACUAUGAUAAGGCAAGGUCAUGUGAAACUGUUGCUUUGAACUUAUAAUGAGCUUACAGAAUGAAGUGCUAUUUUGAACUUGCUAUCAACAUCCUUCUGUGACUCCCUUUUGUAUAACAUUUUAUCUGUGAGGUAAUUUUAUAAAGAACUUUUAUCUAAGAAGCUUUUAUAAAAAAAGCUGGGAGAAAAAUAAAGUGUGGCUGUUGGGUCUCUCCUCCAUUCACCAAAUGUGUAUCUAUGCAUAUAUGUCUGUGUGUCUGUCUGUGUGUCUGUCUGUAUGUACAAUAUGAAACGUGUGUUAUAUAUAUUUGUGAAAUUGCUUAAACAGGUAUUCAGACCCAGCUGAAUGUGUGUGUGUGUG